AUUGAACGCUGGCGGCAUGCCUUACACAUGCAAGUCGAACGGUAACAGGUCUUCGGAUGCUGACGAGUGGCGAACGGGUGAGUAAUACAUCGGAACGUGCCCGAUCGUGGGGGAUAACGAGGCGAAAGCUUUGCUAAUACCGCAUACGAUCUACGGAUGAAAGCGGGGGAUCUUCGGACCUCGCGCGGACGGAGCGGCCGAUGGCAGAUUAGGUAGUUGGUGGGAUAAAAGCUUACCAAGCCGACGAUCUGUAGCUGGUCUGAGAGGAUGAUCAGCCACACUGGGACUGAGACACGGCCCAGACUCCUACGGGAGGCAGCAGUGGGGAAUUUUAGACAAUGGGCGAAAGCCUGAUCCAGCCAUGCCGCGUGCAGGAUGAAGGCCUUCGGGUUGUAAACUGCUUUUGUACGGAACGAAAAGCCUCUUUCUAAUAAAGAGGGGUCAUGACGGUACCGUAAGAAUAAGCACCGGCUAACUACGUG
rnacentral:rRNA from 1 species